rnacentral:rRNA from 1 species
UACGGGGGGGGGCAAGCGUUGUUCGGAAUUACUGGGCGUAAAGCGCGUGUAGGCGGCUUUUCAAGUCGAGUGUGAAAUCCCCAGGCUUAACCUGGGAACUGCGCUCGAUACUGUUGAGCUAGAGUGUGGAAGGGGCUACUGGAAUUCCGUGUGUAGCGGUGAAAUGCGUAGAUAUCUGGAGGAACACCGGUGGCGAAGGCGGCAUCCUGGACCGGCAUUGACGCUGAGGCGCGAAAGCCAGGGGAGCAAACGGG